CCUACGGGAGGCAGCAGUGAGGAAUAUUGGUCAAUGGGCGAGAGCCUGAACCAGCCAAGUCGCGUGAAGGAUGACGGCCCUACGGGUUGUAAACUUCUUUUGUCAGGGAGCAAUUGAGUCCACGUGUGGGCUUAGCGAGAGUACCUGAAGAAAAAGCAUCGGCUAACUCCGUGCCAGCAGCCGCGGUAAUACGGAGGAUGCGAGCGUUAUCCGGAUUUAUUGGGUUUAAAGGGUGCGUAGGCGGAAUAUCAAGUCAGCGGUAAAAAUUCGGGGCUAAACCCCGUCGUGCCGUUGAAACUGGUGUGCUUGAGUGGGCGAGAGGUAUGCGGAACGCGUGGUGUAGCGGUGAAAUGCAUAGAUAUCACGCAGAACUCCGAUUGCGAAGGCAGCAUACCGGCGCCCAACUGACGCUGAAGCACGAAAGCGUGGGUAUCGAACAGGAUUAGAUACCCCUGUAGUC
rnacentral:rRNA from 1 species